CUUCGGAUACUAGUGGCAGACGGGUGAGUAACACGUGGGAACGUACCUUUCGGUUCGGAAUAAUACAGGGAAACUUGUACUAAUACCGGAUAAGCCCUUCGGGGGAAAGAUUUAUCGCCGAUAGAUCGGCCCGCGUCUGAUUAGCUAGUUGGUGAGGUAAUGGCUCACCAAGGCGACGAUCAGUAGCUGGUCUGAGAGGAUGAUCAGCCACACUGGGACUGAGACACGGCCCAGACUCCUACGGGAGGCAGCAGUGGGGAAUAUUGGACAAUGGGCGAAAGCCUGAUCCAGCCAUGCCGCGUGUGUGAUGAAGGCCUUAGGGUUGUAAAGCACUUUUGUCCGGGAAGAUAAUGACUGUACCGGAAGAAUAAGCCCCGGCUAACUUCGUGCCAGCAGCCGCGGUAAUACGAAGGGGGCUAGCGUUGCUCGGAAUCACUGGGCGUAAAGGGCGCGUAGGCGGACUCUUAAGUCGGGGGUGAAAGCCCAGGGCUCAACCCUGGAAUUGCCUUCGAUACUGAGAGUCUUGAGUUCGGAAGAGGUUGGUGGAACUGCGAGUGUAGAGGUGAAAUUCGUAGAUAUUCGCAAGAACACCAGUGGCGAAGGCGGCCAACUGGUCCGAUACUGACGCUGAGGCGCGAAAGCGUGGGGAGCAAACAGGAUUAG
rnacentral:rRNA from 1 species